UACGUAGGGGCCGAGCGUUGUCCGGAGUUACUGGGCGUAAAGCGCGCGCAGGCGGCGCAUCGCGCCCGGCGUGAAAGCCCCCGGCUCAACCGGGGAGGGUCGUCGGGGACGGGUGCGCUUGAGGACGGCAGGGGCAGGUGGAAUUCCCGGUGUAGUGGUGAAAUGCGUAGAGAUCCGGAGGAACACCAGUGGCGAAGGCGACACGCUGGGCCGUACCUGACACUGAUGCGCGACAGCAUGGGGAGCAAACAGG
rnacentral:rRNA from 1 species